rnacentral:tRNA from 1 species
GCUCGGAUGGCGGAACUGGUAGACGCGCUGGCUUGAGGGGUCAGUGGCCGCAAGGCCGUGGAGGUUCAAGUCCUCUUUCGAGCACCA